rnacentral:rRNA from 1 species
UACGAACUGUGCAAACGUUGUUCGGAAUCACUGGGCUUAAAGGGCGCGUAGGCGGGCUCGCAAGUCCGGGGUGAAAGCCCCCAGCUCAACUGGGGAAGCGCCUUGGAUACUGCGGGCCUCGAGGGAGGUAGGGGCGUGCGGAACUUCCGGUGGAGCGGUGAAAUGCGUAGAUAUCGGAAGGAACACCGGUGGCGAAAGCGGCGCGCUGGACCUCUUCUGACGCUGAGGCGCGAAAGCCAGGGGAGCAAACGGG